GGAGACCGCCGAUCGCCCAGGGUUGCUGCUGGAUCUUGUAAAAAUCAUCUCCGACAUCAACAUCACGGUUGAGUCCGGGGAGUUCGACACUGAGGGGUUGUUGGCAAAGGCAAAGUUUCACGUUAGCUACAAGGGUAAAGCUAUCAGCAGGCCCCUGCAGCAGGUUCUUGCUAACAGUUUAUGAUAUUUCUUGAGGCGUCCAACUACAGAGGAGGCUAG